UGGCCUGUCCAGGUCCACUGAAGGUCCUCCAAAGCCUUGCCGGGGUGAGGGUCGCUGUGAUGUGGCAUGCUGCUGCCACACAGCCUGCCUUCAGAGGCACCAGGGAGCAAGACGCUGUCGGGAUGGUAAAGGAGGGCAUCUCUGCAGGCAAACAGGGACUCCAACUGCUGACCUCAGGUUCUGACUCCCUUAGCCUUGCUGGCAGGGACACAUCUGACUGCCCACUCUGUGGGCAGCCACAGAAACAUCUGGCUGGGCUCCUUUUGUCCCCGCCUCUCCCCCACCCCACCCCACCCCCCACACACACCCACUUCCCACAGGAGUGUGAAGAGCUUGACACACCUCUGUCUAUUCGGUUUCUAAUCCAAUGCCCUUCCUGGUUUCCUUUGAUGGAGGCAUAGGUAAACCUGGGCUGUUUUCCCAGUCAACUUUGAUGGCUAACGUGGGCAAGGAGACUCAGCACAGACAAGAGAACCUGGCGGCAGGGAUGGCGGUGCCUCCCACACAUUGCCUUUGCCCCGAUUGCCUUGGCAUCUUGGCAUUUAUGACCUUGGUAUGACCUUCAUCUUGCUGGUGACAGCACUGGUCCUUGGGGACUCCUGGACUUUCAGAAAGUGACUUCAUCCCCUC
rnacentral:lncRNA from 1 species